AAAGAGUUUUCUGAGUGGCUUCUCAAGGUCGGGGAAGGUCAUCUUGAAACAGGACAAGAAUAUGAGGAUGAUGGCUACCAUGACCAAUUCAUAGAUAUCGAUGAAUCUUUGAUUUGUCAGAGUAUUGUUGACCCAUUGGAAGGAGUUGUUGAUGCCGCAUAUGGGGAAAUCAACAAACCGAUGAAUUCCCAGACUUCCUAUACAGAUAAAGCUAUCCUCACACCCCGUAAUGAAACCGUCGAUGAAAUCAAUGCUUACACCAUCUCACGGACCGACGGGGUAUCAAGGGAUUACUUCAGCUCAGACAACUUUGAGUUAUCAAAUACUACAUCAGAUCAAAAUGAUACAUUAUACGCCGUUGAGUAUCUCAAUUCACUGGAAUUCUCGGGUUUGCCUUCGCACAAAAUAACUCUGAAAGUUGGUGCCCCAGUUAAAGGGUUAUGCAAUGGUACGCGAAUGAUCCUAACACAUGUUGGCGAUCGCGUUCUAAAGGCCAAAAUUAUCACUGGCUCCCACAUUGGAAAAGAGGUUUAGAUCUCAAGAAUUGUGCUUUUAUAUGAUGAAACAAAGUUACCGUUCACAUUACGUCGGCGGCAAUUUCCUAUCAGAUUGUGCUACGCAAUGACAAUCAACAAAAGCCAAGGCCAGAGUAUAAAAGAGGUCAUCUUAUAUCUGCCUAAACCGAUCUCUCAUGGUCAACUUUAUGUGGCCCUCUCACGUGUCACAAGCAAAGCAGGAUUAACGAUCAUCAAAACCAAAGAUUCCCACCAGCUGAAAGUGAAGAACAUAGUCUUCAAAGAAAUAUUCAAAGGCCUUUCUCCCGACAGAGAUUAACAAUAUCCAAUAAAAAAGGGAUUUACAAAUAAGUUUUUCCACAGCUACGCCAGGCUAUUUCUUUCUUAUGACUUAAACACAGCUUCUGAUCUGCGAAAGGCUUAAUUUGUUUCUUACAUUAUUUACCUUACUUACGACUUCUUUAAUUUUUUAAACAAUUGCGUAAACUCGAUAUUCACCAAUUUUUCAGACAUUUUAGAACAUACAAUACAAUGUUCCAUUUCAAACAAAUUAUUGAAACUUAUAAUCAAAAAUAAAUUAUCAACGUACUUUUCCGCACGUAGCGAGGAGAGAGGAUCUAGUAUAGAUAAGAAAGGAUAAUUAGGUAGCAUAAGUAUAUUCCUCUACUUAAUAUUUUCAACGAAAAUAUAAUAUUUGAAACUAAUUAAUUAAGAUCUUUCGUAUAUUUAACACCAAAAAUCGUUGAGUCUGAAAAGGGAUGAAAUAUAUCUUUUGAAAAAUAGAAUAAGUAUAUUCCUCUAUUUAAUAUUUUUUGCAGCAAUAUGAUGGUAAUUAUAUGCCUUGUGAAUCAGAGUAGGAAAAAAUAUUAAACUAAAUAAGAUCUAUCAUUUUCAGCUGAACAAAUCGUUGAGGUUGUUUUCAUUUAAUAUUUUGAGUGUGAAAAGGGAGAAAUAUUGAAUCAUUUGAGAUCAUCUCGUUACAUGUUUCAAGAUAUUAUGGAAUUAUUCCCUUAAUUCACCUGCCAAUAAUUUUUAAAUUCAAUGUCAAGUGGAGAGAUUUUGAUAUGUUUGUUUGUUUGAAAUCAUAAUAUAAAUCAUAAAAAAGAAUCAUAAUAUAAAAUUUACAAUAUGAUCUAAGAUACAUACUAAAUGAAAUGUGUUAUAUUGAUAUGAUAUUAUGUGGAAUUGAUUUCAUUUGUGGAUAUGAUACUAUUUGUAAAAUACAUACUUCAAUUACAUUUGAAAGAUCUUAUCAAAAUUAGUUUUAGGGUUCAAGAUUCAUUACAACUGGUAUUGUCUAUGUUAAAUAUGGUUUACAUUUUCUGGCUUGAGUAAAAUGAACUGGCUUCCAAAAAUACGGUGCCAAAGAGAAAAAAAGCUUAUGUUCCUUUGAUUCAAUACAUGAACUUAAAAGAACUUAUUGUUGGUUCAUUGGUUCAUGAAAUAUUGUCAAUUAUUUAGUUUAACAUAUGAAGGGAUACGUUAUAUGACACUAACGAUACUAAAUGUAAGAUGGUCGUAUAGUUAAAUUUAUAUUAUGUCAAAGUCACGAGAUGUUUCAAUAAUAAGAGAUGUAUAUAACCACAGGGUGGUGGGCUAGUGGUCUUGAGGUUGUUAACACACCAAUACGGACCCGGGUUCGAAUACCCCCUGUGGCCACGGAAUGCUUUACGCCCUCCCCAAGUUUAAAGUUAUCGCGGCGUUGGUGCCGGGUCCUUGGGUAAUGGGUAUAAGUGCCGGCUGGUUCCGGGCCAGGGGGAUUAGAUGGUUGGCAAUCGGAAACCAUGUGCGGAUUACGGGCCUUUGGGCAAACGGAAACCAUGUGCGGAUUACGGGUCACCUUUGAACCUCCUGUUAAAAAAAAUAAUAAUAAUAAUAAGAGAUGUAUAUAUUAAAUAUGGUUAUUAAUGAAUAUGUAUAUAACGUUAAUGUUGGUUUAUAAGAAAAAGGCAAAACAUGAAAUUUAAAUAUAAUAACUUUAAUAUAUUUUAUUGUUAUUUCAUUUUUUAUUAAAACAUUAAUAAGCUUUUUAACAUAAAUUUCCGUUAUACAAAAACACUUAAAUAAUAAAAAGGUAAAUAUAUAUAUAUAUAUAUAAUAGAAAUUAUAUAGAUUAUAUAUAUAAACAAUUUUUUAUUCUUUGUAUUCAUUAAAAACAUAAACAAAAAAGAAAUAUAUAUGAGCUUUAAGAUAUACUUUACAAAAUAAAUUGAAAAAUAAAAUAAUAUAGAUAUCCCUAUUCAAAAUAAUAAUUUUAUUAUAAAUAUAUUUUAUAUAAAAUGACUAAAAAUAAUUUUGACGACAUAAAAUUAUUAUAUAAUAUAUUUGUUUCAAAAACAAACAAUUAUAUUUUGUGACUAUGUUAAGGUAUUUAAAACCAAAUACAUAUAUUAAAAUGUAAGGCUAAUAAACGAGAAAAAAUAAUAUUUUUACGAUGAAUAUUAGUUUGACUAAAUGAUUAUAACUUUUAAUAAGAAAAGAGGUAUCAUAUAAUAUCAUAUUUAUAUUUAUUUUAUAACUAUUAACUUAAAACUGAAUAAAAAAUCAAAUAAUGUUAGAAUGAAAAAUUUAUUAUAUUAAAACAGAAGUCACAACUUCUCUUCAUGUGUGAUUUUUUUAAAAUGGACCUUCUCUAGAAAAUUAUAUUUCAUUUAAUUCUAAUUAACAUAAUGACAUCAUUAGGAUAUCACAUCUUAAAUAAUUGACAUAUAUAACAACUCACCUAUAAAAUUGUCUUAUUUUUUAAUUAUAAAAAUAUAUUGAGAAAAAAAAUUUACAAAAUCAUAUUAGAUAUUUUAAAUAUUAUUAUAAAAUGAAUCAUUGAUUAAUUUCGUGAUUAGUACUCUAAUAUUAUUAUAAAUUAAUGUUAGUUAAGAUUUUAUUAAAAAAUAAAAAAAUUGUAUACUAUUUUCUUCAAAUUUCUAAUUAUAGUCUAUAUUAUCUAUUAAAAUAGAAGUAAUGAAUUCUUUCAUGUAUUGUUUUAUAAUUUGGACCAUCCUUUAAUUUUUUAUUAAAUAUAUUUUAUUAAGACUAAUAAUAUAUAGAAUCUUUGAACUACGUUAAUCACAAUAUCUUUUGAUAUCUUUUCAUUUUAAAUAUAAAUAUAUAUUUUAAAAGUUCUAACAAGUCUGUUUAAAAGAUUUUAACAAAAUCUUAAUUUUCAAAAAUUAUAUGUAAAUAUUUUCAUUAAUUUCGAAAUUAGUUAUGAAAUAAUAUCAUACAUUUAUAUAUGUUAUAAUAUU